GAACUCCCAACCCUUUGUGAACCUUACCGUCGUUGCCUCGGCGGGCUGUACUUACCCUGUAGCUACCCUGUAGCUACCCGGUAGGUGCGCUCCAAGCCCGCCGGUGGACCACUAAAUUCUAUUUUACUACUGUAUCUCUGAAUGCUUCAACUUAAUAAGUUAAAACUUUCAACAACGGAUCUCUUGGUUCUGGCAUCGAUGAAGAACGCAGCGAAAUGCGAUAAGUAAUGUGAAUUGCAGAAUUCAGUGAAUCAUCGAAUCUUUGAACGCACAUUGCGCCCAUUAGUAUUCUAGUGGGCAUGCCUAUUCGAGCGUCAUUUCAACCCUUAAGCCUAGUUGCUUAGUGUUGGGAAUCUGCCCUGUAUUUAUAGGGCAGUUCCUUAAAGUGAUCGGCGGAGUUAGGGCAUACUCUAAGCGUAGUAAUAUUCUUCUCGCUUCUGUAGUUGUCCUGGCGGCUUGCCGUUAAACCCCUAUAUUUCUAGUGGUUGACCUCGGAUUAG
rnacentral:rRNA from 1 species